rnacentral:lncRNA from 1 species
AAUGAACAAAUAGCGAUUUUAAACCAACUUAAAAUAGAAGACCGAAGAAAAGUAUUACUUUCAGAUCCGAUCUUAUAUGAAGUAACAAUAAGAAAACCAUUGGAUAAUCAAAAUUCAGAAAUUGGAGGCUCUAGUUCGGAUCCACAUAGAUUGAACCGUGAAUCACUUAAAACACCUUUAAUAGCUGUUAAUGAAAGAAUAAGAAGAGAAUUGGAAUUAAAAAAACAAAGAAAAAACCAAGCUCUUAAUGAUGUAAAAAAUAAAAAGAAUUCAUAUGAUACAGCAAAAGAUGAAGAAGAAGUAAAGAAAGUAGAAAUAGAACGAAGAAUGGCUGCAGAUGCAAUGAAUAUACUAAAUGAUAAAGCAAUGCUUGAUGAUGCNNNNNNNNNNAGCAGAAGAAGCAGAACAACGACGUAAACAAGCAGAAGAAGAACAACGCAAACGAGUAGCAGAAGAAAAACGUAAAAUAGAAGAAGAAGAAGCAGAACGUACACGAUUAUUCAACGAACAUAAACGAUUACAGAACGAAUAUAAACGAUUAGAGGAAGAACGUAAACGAGUAGAGGAGGAACGACGUAAACAAGAAGAAGAAGAAAAAAAAGAAAAAGAAAGAAAAAAUAAAUUAGGUCUUAUAGGAAAAGCAGGAGACUACAUACGAGAAAAAAUAUAUAAACGUGCUGCAAUACGAAAAGCAGCUGCAGAAAAAGCUAAAAGAGAAGUUGAAAGAAUAGAUGCAGAACAAAAAAGAAUUGAAGAAGAACGAGCAAGGGUAAUAGGGGAAUAUAUUCGAAAACAACAAGAAAUACAAAGAGCAAAAAUUAAAGCAGCUAAAGAAGCAGUUGAAGAGAUGGUACCAAAAUCAGAUGAAAAAAAAGGAGCAGAUAAAGAAGGAGCAGAUAAAGAAGGAGCAGAUAAAGAAGGAGCAAAUAAAGAAGCAGCUGAUAAAGAAGCAGCUGAUCAGAUGGCACGAAAAGCAGCUGAAAAAAAAGUAGAUAAUGAGAUGGAACAAAAAGCAGCUGCAAAACAAGCAGUUGAUGAUAUGGCACGAAAGGUAGUUGAGCAAAACAAAAAAAAAGUAGUGGGAGACAUAAACAAAAACCAUACUCGAACUAGCAAUAUGCCAAAAAAUCAAAAAAUAUUAGGUGUAGAUAACAAAGAUAAAGCAUUUAUUAAAGACGAACAGAAUACUAAUAAUAAUAUUAAAGUAAAUGAUGCAAAAACGGGCAAGUCCGAAGAAAAAGAAUUACCACAAAAUAUUAAUUGGACUACCCACGAUAUAAUCGAGCAUGCAAAGAGAAAUAUGUGUCAAGCUUAUAGCAAAUCAUUACCGUACUGUAAUGAUUUAGUGAAAAAGGUAACUUCUGAAAAAUGUUAACAGAAGACGCUAAAAAUAUGUGUUGUGCAAUUGCAGAUUAUUGUGGAUCUACUAAUCAAUUUAAUACACAAAAUUUUCUA